rnacentral:lncRNA from 1 species
ACCAAACAACAUUUUCUCCAAUUGAAGCUCAUGAAAUAUGAGCAAAAGAAGAGACAAACAAACAAGUUGAAGCAGCAUACAGAGUGAAUCAUGAUUCACUUCAUCAAGUAAAAGCCCCAAGAAGGUGAGUGAUUAUGAAUCACAUCAAGUGUUUUAGUUUUUGUAACACAAUAUUAAUCAUGAAACAGAAAUAAGUCGAUAUUUUUUCAACAACCAUAAACGCAAUUUUUCAAGUAUAUUCUUUUAAUUGAACAAACUGUUGUGUACAAGUACAUAGUUUAAUAAACUUUAAAUCAAAACAAAUUAUGUACAAAACAAAUCUUUGGGCACACCCAAUUUCAUAAAUCAACAGAUGCAACAAAUAAUUAACUUAGCAAUAGUAAUAAUAAUAAUAACGCUACAUAUAUGUAUAUCUUGAUUCAGAAACCUUUCCAGACAGAAAGAAUUUCAUUAAACACUUCAGCUAUGAGUUCUCUGUCUGCAGUUUUUAUAAACGCAUCAAAUUCCUCUAAAAUGUCAAAUAUCUUCCCAAACCUCACAAGAUACUGCAUGCAGCAAAUCUUCAGCUUUUCAAGACGAUAUAAAGAAGCAAUUUGAAGCCUCUCAAGAACAUUAUUUGUAUCAAUAUCUUCCAAUAAGCUUUCAUGGCAUGCUUCCUUUAAAUCCACAACAUCAUACUUAUCAGCUGCUCUAAGAAGAUGGAGUCUAUGAACAAGAAAGUCUUGUUCUUCAAUGUUACCAUAAAUGUAACUCAAAAAAGCUUGGCAAGCUUCAAUGGACAUGUCGGAAAUGUUUAUGGCGGACAUUUCUUUUUCUUUUAGGUCAUGGGAGAACAUGCUUUGGAAGACAGGCG